UACGUAGGGUGCGAGCGUUAAUCGGAAUUACUGGGCGUAAAGUGUGCACAGGCGGCAGAGCAAGUCGAGUGUGAAAUCCCCGGGCUUAACCUGGGAACUGCAUUUGUGACUGCAUGGCUGGAGUGCGGCAGAGGGGGAUGGAAUUCCGCGUGUAGCAGUGAAAUGCGUAGAUAUGCGGAGGAACACCGAUGGCGAAGGCAAUCCCCUGGGCCUGCACUGACGCUCAUGCACGAAAGCGUGGGGAGCAAACAGG
rnacentral:rRNA from 1 species